GCACUUCUGAGGAGUCCCAAACUAGGACGAAACGGCCUUCCAGUGC
rnacentral:hammerhead_ribozyme from 1 species